rnacentral:lncRNA from 1 species
CGUUGACCUCCCGUGCCCCCUUUUGCUUUCCGUUAGGCUACAGUGGUAACCACAGUACUGUCUUUUUGCCACUAGGGGUCACUGUCACAUGUCCAAAGAAGUGAGCUUGGCCGCUGUAGAUUAGAACCACAGGGGUGGUAGACUGCAGAUCUAUCAGGAGACCCUAGGGGGCCAUCUCAACCCCACCUCUUCCUCCACCCUGAAAUAAUUUUGGAUGGAUAGGUGUUUUUGGAACUAAGACAUCUCCAGUUAAGGCGAUGUUUGCUUCACGCCUGCACCUGUGUCCCAUCCUCUUCCCAUCUGUAUAUGCCACCAGUAAGCUUUAGGAAACGCCCCACGAAAUCAGUCAGCGCUCCCCUCCCAUCUUGCUCAGUGGAGGUGGCAAAGCCCCUCUUUUUCCUCCUCUGUCCCCAGGUGCUCUCCUCUAGCAGCACAGGAACCUUCUUUGUUCUUGUGUGUCACUGGGUUUCUCACCAAGGUUGCUUUAGGGCCCAGAAGUGGCACAGAGAACAUGGCCAGUCUCUUACUGGGCUGCAUCUAAGCUGAGCCCUCUCCAGGGGUUUCCCAGAAUAGUAAACCAGGCACACACAGGCAGAAAAGUCUGAGAAGCAGAGAAGUAGGAAUGCAGAAGAGGAG